rnacentral:snRNA from 1 species
UCUGUCCUAGUUUUGUAGACUAUGCUAAACCUGGAACAAUACUGAGAAGAUUAGCAUGGCUUGUGUAUGGAUGACACACGCUUUAAAAAAAAAAAAAAAGAAAAG